GACGAACGCUGGCGGCGUGCUUAACACAUGCAAGUCGAACGGAAAGGCCCUGCUUUUGUGGGGUGCUCGAGUGGCGAACGGGUGAGUAACACGUGAGUAACCUGCCCUUGACUUUGGGAUAACUUCAGGAAACUGGGGCUAAUACCGGAUAGGAGCUCCUGCUGCAUGGUGGGGGUUGGAAAGUUUCGGCGGUUGGGGAUGGACUCGCGGCUUAUCAGCUUGUUGGUGGGGUAGUGGCUUACCAAGGCUUUGACGGGUAGCCGGCCUGAGAGGGUGACCGGCCACAUUGGGACUGAGAUACGGCCCAGACUCCUACGGGAGGCAGCAGUGGGGAAUAUUGCACAAUGGGCGGAAGCCUGAUGCAGCAACGCCGCGUGCGGGAUGACGGCCUUCGGGUUGUAAACCGCUUUCGCCUGUGACGAAGCGUGAGUGACGGUAAUGGGUAAAGAAGCACCGGCUAACUACG
rnacentral:rRNA from 2 species